rnacentral:tRNA from 1 species
GGAGUUGUGGCCCAGUAGAACAGCCUCUGCUUGCCAUGCAGGAAGUCCCAGGUUCGAUACCCGGCAGCCUCC